rnacentral:rRNA from 1 species
GACGAACGCUGGCGGCGUGCUUAACACAUGCAAGUCGAACGGAAAGGCCCUGCUUUUGUGGGGUGCUCGAGUGGCGAACGGGUGAGUAACACGUGAGUAGCCUGCCCUUGACUUUGGGAUAACUUCAGGAAACUGGGGCUAAUACCGGAUAGGAGCUCCUGCUGCAUGGUGGGGGUUGGAAAGUUUCGGCGGUUGGGGAUGGACUCGCGGCUUAUCAGCUUGUUGGUGGGGUAGUGGCUUACCAAGGCUUUGACGGGUAGCCGGCCUGAGAGGGUGACCGGCCACAUUGGGACUGAGAUACGGCCCAGACUCCUACGGGAGGCAGCAGUGGGGAAUAUUGCACAAUGGGCGGAAGCCUGAUGCAGCAACGCCGCGUGCGGGAUGACGGCCUUCGGGUUGGAAACCGCUUUCGCCUGUGACGAAGCGUGAGUGACGGUAAUGGGUAAAGAAGCACCGGCUAACUACGUG